AUUGAACGCUGGCGGCAGGCCUAACACAUGCAAGUCGAACGAGUGGCGGACGGGUGAGUAAUGUCUGGGAAACUGCCCGAUGGAGGGGGAUAACUACUGGAAAAGGUAGCUAAUACCGCAUAUCAUCGGAUGUGCCCAGAUGGGAUUGGCUGGUAGGGGAGGUAACGGCUCACCUAGGCGACGAUCCCUAGCUGGUCUGAGAGGAUGACCAGCCAGACUGUAACUGGGACACGGUCCAGAUGCCUACGGGAGGCAGCAGUGGGGAAUAUUGCACAAUGGGCGCGAGCCUGAUGCAGCGAGGCCGCGUGUAUGAAGAAGGACUUCGGGUUGUAAAGUACUUUCAGCGGGGAGGCGUUACUCGCAGAAGAAGCAACGGCUAACUCCGUGCCAGCAGCCGCGGUAAUUC
rnacentral:rRNA from 1 species